GUUUUGAAGAAAGGAUGGUCUCUGAUAUUCCCAGUGACCCCAAGUCGUUUUGCUGGAUCUCUUUCAAAGAGCUGCAAGAGAAGACAGCUGGUAAAGCCUUUCAUCUGCUCAAAAGAGGGAGAUGGACAAUACCAGAUGUUUGGGGCAUGUUUACCUAAGGCCUUUUGUAAGGCUCUGAAGCACAGAGACAUCAUUCUUUGGACCUGUUUGUUACGCAGAGCAGAAUGAAUGUUGACCCAAAACUUCACAAAUAGGCUGAGGGGAUACCAGGAGAGGCUGCCAGAUGCAGAGAUGUUUGCUGGAAUGCAGUGUUUAUUAAAAAAGAUUGUCUAACACAAGGCAAGAAUAAAUACUUAAAUUGUCUGGUAAGUAAAUGGCCAUAUGGAAACAUUUUCCCUUUUCUUACCUGUUGUAUCUCCUCCUGGAGCUUUAUGUUUCUUAUCAAAAUCUUGAUAAAUACCAACACUUUCUACAGACCCAGAAUCGGACCUUCGUGUAGACUUCUGAGGAGAGGGAACACUUGAAAUUAUAUUAGCUCUACUACUUUAGAAAUACAGUAAUAUCUGUAAAUGUAACGUGAUGGCAGUAUAAACUUUUCUUUUUAAUUAUUAACUCCCAGUACACAUCUUUUCUCAAGAAGUCUGGUUCAUAGACUCUUUAGCCACUUUCUUUACAGCUUCAGAUCAGCCAAUUGCUUUAUUUCCUUCACUGCAAGAAAAUAAGUCACCGAAAUUCCUGGACAGUCUAUGUUGUAUUGUUCAUUGCAAAAUUAUUAAAGGUACAGUGGUUUGGAUUCACAGUGGGAACAAAUUAAACUGUGGGAAAAUGUCCCCUUGGAUGUAUGUUCAUUUGAAUGAGGAGAUGGGAGUCACUGUCAUACUGGACAGGCUUAAGUCAUAUCUGUGUAUGACAUCCAUCUUUAGCACAUAGAAACAAAUUUUAUGUGUGAAAGAUCCCCAAGACCAAAUUUUAGUAAGGAAAAGAUUAAGUUUUUCUGGGUCAUGAAAGAGCUGGCACAACAGCUCUCACUGUUUCCAAAGUAAAUAUCCUGUGAAAGCUUAAGAAUACACAGCUCAGAGGAAGCACUGUUGGCUUUUGUGAUAUAUUUUCCUGUUUUAUUUCAGGGCUUGUGUCUGAGUCUUUAUUUGCAAGUCAGAAGUCAGCCACAAAAGACAGUCAUGCUGCAGCAGGAGAUGAACAAGCUAUGGGGCCAGUGUUAAUUAGAGGAGUUUUCUCUGUAUGUGUAUAUAUAUAUAU